AUAAAAUAUAAAACCACCUACAUAACAUUUUGAUAUAAGGACUUCAGAAACAAAAGGCUGAUUGCAGAGAGGAUGUCAUGGUUCUAUCCCAUGCAAGAGCAGAAAACGCAAAAGACCUGCAACAUUUUUGUGUUCAUGCAUCAUCAACGGUCUACUCCUUCGCUUGAAUUCCACAACGUACUUCAACAUUUUUAGUGGCUCCACUGCAGUCCGAGUCCAUCCAUCCAGGGCCACCAUUUUCUGGUGCAGUCUCCUGUGGUGCUUCUUCCACGACCCAAUCAUCCAUGGCAUCAAUCUCUUCACCCACAACAUUGUUU
rnacentral:lncRNA from 1 species